CACAGUGUAGCAAUACAUGGGUGGCGACCGGCAAACGGGUGCGGAACACGUACGCAACCUUCCUUCAGGCGGGGAAUAGCCCAGAGAAAUUUGGAUUAAUACCUCAUAAUAUUUUGAGAUGGCAUCAUCUUAUUAUUAAAGCUACGGCACCUGGAGAUGGGCGUGCGGCUGAUUAGGUAGUUGGCGGGGUAAUGGCCCACCAAGCCUACGAUCAGUAGCUGAUGUGAGAGCAUGAUCAGCCACACGGGCACUGAGACACGGGCCCGACUCCUACGGGAGGCAGCAGUAAGGAAUAUUGGUCAAUGGACGCAAGUCUGAACCAGCCAUGCCGCGUGGAGGAUGAAGGUCCUCUGGAUUGUAAACUUCUUUUAUCUGGGACGAAAAAAGGGUUUUCUAACUCGUCUGACGGUACCAGAUGAAUAAGCACCGGCUAACUCCGUGCCAGCAGCCGCGGUAAUACGGAGGGUGCAAGCGUUAUCCGGAUUCACUGGGUUUAAAGGGUGCGUAGGCGGGCAUUUAAGUCAGUGGUGAAAUACCUGAGCUUAACUUGGGAACUGCCAUUGAUACUAUUUGUCUUGAAUGUCGUGGAGGUUAGCGGAAUAUGUCAUGUAGCGGUGAAAUGCUUAGAUAUGACAUAGAACACCUAUUGCGAAGGCAGCUAACUACGCGAAUAUUGACGCUGAGGUACGAAAGCGUGGGGAUCAAACAGGAUUAGAUACCCUGGUAGUCCACGCCCUAAACGAUGAUUACUCGACAUUAGCGAUACACUGUUAGUGUCUGAGCG
rnacentral:rRNA from 1 species